UGGGAGGGAGCGCGGUGCAUUGUGGCGCAGGAGCCGGUGAUUCUCCAUAUUUACAGGGGUCGCCAUUUUGUGUGUGUUUCUGCAGCGUCUCUGGGUCUUCGGGGGAGAAUAAUUGUGAAUCUGCCGGAGGAGUUCCAGGAGAGGGUGGGUAGUCGCCUGUCGGUAGACGAGGAGAAGCCGUCCAGUACACGGUUGCUUCCCUUCUCCAUUAGCGUAGCCCGGGAGUGAGCGCAGGCCGCGGCGGCGGCCAUGGGGAGGUCUCGAAGCCGCAGCUCGUCGCGCUCCAAACACGCCAAGAGCAGCAAGCACGGCAAGCGGCGGACGCGCUCGCACUCGCGGGAGAAGGAGAGGCCGCGAAAGCGCUCCAAGUCCCGGGAGAAGAAGAGCCGGCGGCACGCGACCAACCGCGAGUCGCGCUCCCGCUCCCGCUGCCGCAACACUCCCGAGCGCAUCGACAUCUUCGGCCGCAACCUGAGCAAGCGCAGCAGCCUGGACGAGAAGCAGAAGCGCGAGGAGGAGGAGAAGAAGGCCGAGCUGGAAAGGCAGCGUAAGAUUCGACAACAGGAAAUAGAAGAAAAGUUGAUUGAAGAAGAAACAGCAAGAAGAGUAGAGGAACUUGUAGCUAAACGUGUGGAAGAAGAGUUAGAGAAGCGCAAAGAUGAGAUUGAACGCGAGGUACUCCGACGUGUCGAGGAGGCUAAGCGUAUUAUGGAAAAACAACUGUUGGAGGAGCUUGAGCGACAGCGACAUGCUGAGCUUGCUGCACAGAAAGCCAGAGAGGUAACGCUCGGUCGUUGGAAAAGCAAACGACAGUCCAUGGCAAAACUUUCAGUCACAGUUAAUAGUCACCACUUAGUUACCAUCAAUAAAUGGAAUCAGAAUGCAUUUACCUCUUUUCCUGCAGUCUUCAGUACCACAACAUUGUUUUUUUUAAGUUGCAUUUUUCUUCCAUUAGAGCCUAAGAUGCUGAAUGUAGUAUUUAAUUAGGCUACACAAGCAUUGUGCCAUGGCAUUUGCUGUUUAAAUUAAAGAACUUUAGAAGAAACAAUACCAAAGUACCAGUGUACUAGUUGAAAAUCUCUUUUCACACUUAUUUAAUUGAAACUUUUGCCAUGGCUGCAGACUUUAUUAUCUAAUUAUGCAAAAAGAUUUUCUUUUAAAGGCUCUUACAGGAGAAUGAUUUGCCCUUCAUUUGUGUAAUCACUUUGUUUUCCAUUUUGAUUCCAUGACUUGGUCUUUCCCACUACUGUAAUAGGUCAAAGUGGAUGAACCUACAAUACUCGUGUAUGGCAAGUGGUUCAUGUUUGCUGCAUAUCCAUCUUAUAUAAGAUGCAACAGAGACGCUUCCUCUGUUGGGUUUCUGACAUUGGCCUUCAUUUUAUUCAAAUGAUUCUAGGAACUAGGCCUUUAACGUUCCUCCUGAGUAUAUUUAUAAGUAAUUUUUUUCUCCUAAAUCAGCUGGUGAGUUCCUGUUUUAAUGUGAAGCUGGACAUUCUGUGUUACGUGGUCACAGUAGCAAAAGCAGAAAAAUAUCUUCCUCUGAAAUAGUGAAUUGCUACAUAUUUAUUGAAGUUUGCUGACACUCAUUACCUCUGGAUUCUGAAAUGAAAUAGUCUUGUAGUGUAGUGCAGUAUCAGUCUCAAUUGCAAUUUGGUAACUCUUUAAGUUUGAAAUAAUAUAGGUUUCAAAAGUGUAUAUAGUUUUCUUCCAGUUGUUUAGAAUUCUUGAGUGGAAUUAGGAAAGACCAAAGUGGCACAAAAUAGUGUUUUAUCCAUUAUUUGCUUUGAAGAAACUAAAACUAACAAAUGAAGUUUAAUAUUGCAUUUAGUUUUGACCAUAUGACAUCACUUUUAAGAACACGAUGAUUUAAUUUCAUUAUUGUGUAGAUCAACAACAAUGCAAGUCCUGGCGUAUUUUCUUACUGUUAAAUGACUGGGUGGCUUCAAAUAUGUUUACUUUUAUUUUUGCUUUCUAGAUCAAAAUUGCUUCCAAAUAUUUGGCAAAAAGAAUGACUUCAUUCAUUUCUAAUUCUUUUGAAACUUUGAAUAACCUUCUCAUCAUUGCCAAGCUUCUGCUUCAUCCAUGUGCCCUUCCCCCUCUAAACUGACUGUCCUUUGGUUUUGCAUCCCCAUUCCUCAAGCUAGGUCGAACCCCAGAUUUAUGAAUAAGCUGAAGUAGCUACUGAUCUCUCUUUGGUGAGACUGACACUGAUUGUUUUCUUAUAUACCCUCUAAAAGAUAUAAGCAAUUCAUAUCUCCAUUUUAUCGCUUUAAAUUCAGGGCUGGGUAUUUUUCUCCAAGUGUUAUAUGUUGAAAGGUGAUUAUACUGAGCCUGCCACUUUCGUGCAAUACAGCAUAUUUUCAUGUGGUGCCACAUCUGUCAAUAAAACAGCACGUUGGUAAAGUUAAAAUGAUCCCCAACCCAUGUAUGGCUAUAUUUUAAAAUUCCACAGUGGCUUCAAGAGGUUAGUUAGUAGUUGGGUUGUCAUGUAAUGUUAGGUUGCACAUAAAAAUUUGAUGAAUUGUUUCAGAAAUAAACCCUACAAUGAUUUUUGGCUACAAUCCCUGGUGGUUUCAUGUUUACAUAUUGUAUUUAUGAACUUGUCCUGUAGUUUUUAACAUUAAGUGAAAGAUGUUAGUUUUUUUUCAUUACUGCAUCAGUUGGUUUCUUGGAGUUGAAUUAAUAUUAAUUUCAGAAUAUCAGCUGCCUUAGAGUAAGUAUAUCAUAUUUGUAUUUGAUACAGGGAUGAGCUUUAUUGUUUAACUUAAUUGCAACUUAAUGAAAUUAUAAAACGCUUUCAGAUCAGUAUUGUAUUAUAAGUUGCAUGAUAGUAGUACCUUAUUUCAAUGUGCUUUUAUUUUGAAGUACUCAGUGCAUUAUAUCUUAAGGUAUAGCAUUUUGUAUUAUUUACUCUAACUUUAUUCAGAUUAUUUGAAUUUCUAGGGUUGAUGAGUAUCGGCUUGUAGCACAUUACUAUUCAUAGUAAGAUUAUUUUUCUUUCUCAUGUCUCUGAUAGUUUUGCUCGGCUUCAUGUUUACAUUGUCAUCCUGCAGACAAAGGGCAAAUUUCCUGGGCCAUUCACAGUAUUGAAAAUGUAAUUUUUCUGUUCUGGAAAAUCCAGUUCUAAGAACUUUAUUUGGUAGUGUUUAAUUUUGUUCUGUAGGGGAAUCUAGAAUUUUGAUGUCUUUAGAAAGAUACUUUAUGACAAAGCCAAUAUUAGUUAACCAGUAUUUAUUAAAUGAAUAAAGGCAAACAAUGUCUUAAUUUUCAAAACUUAAUGUAUCAUGAGUAGCUUCAAGGUUACUUGUGUGAUUUGUUCUCAGAACAGAAAAAAGUCAUCAUUUCUUCCCACUGUGAAAGAUGCUCUCAGUUCCACAAAAGGAUGGAUUAAAGCUUGUAUUUUUCACUAACAGUAAAUGUAUCUUUCUUAUUAAUUGUUUGCCUUAGGAAUGGUGAUUUAUAUUGUUUCUUCUUACCGUAAACAUCUGCAUUCCUCAGCUCAGCCUGCGUUGUGUUGUGUUUCUUGUUAUUGGCUGAGCUGCUGAUGCAGGUGUUGCCAAGCUAACAGUACAAAUCAGUUUAAAGAGGAAGCUGGCGCAUAUGGCAGCCGAGGAGCACACUCUGCAGGACACUGGACGAGACAGAGGAAGAACGAGCUAAACGGGAAGAACUUGAGCGAAUAUUGGAGGAAAAUAAUCGAAAAAUAGCAGAAGCUCAGGCUAAGUUG